ACUUCCUGGAGCUGUGGCAGGGCCGCAGGGACAGAAUGACAGAGGCACAGAAAGAAAAGAGCCCUCAGGCGACAGGGGUGGAGCUGACUGAGGACAGAGGGCCAGGUGUUGGAGCCUGCCUUUGUUCAGGUGAGGACUGCUCCACAGUCAGCAGUGUAGCUCCAGACCUCCGUAGUACAUCCUCCUCAACAUGAGCAAUUCUGAUCUGACCCUGCUCUUCCUUUUGAGAACCAAGCUCACCUCAGCCUCCUCAGAUGCAGAUGUUUUGAGUUCAGUGGUCGUCUGUUGGGCCGACUGAGCUUUGGCUUGUGUGGGAGUUGGAGGCUGCUGGAUAAAUA